AGCGAACGUUUGCGGCGGGCCUAACACAUGCAAGUCGAACGCACUAGCAAUAGUGAGUGGCGCACGGGUGCGUAACACGUGGGUAAUCAACCCUUCAGCCUGGGAUAACGACUCGAAAGGGUCGCUAAUACCGGAUACGGCGCGAGAGGCUUCGGCUUCUCACGAGAAAGCCACGCAAGGGGCACUGAAGGACGAGCCUGCGGCCCAUCAGCUAGUUGGUGAGGUAAGAGCUCACCAAGGCUAAGACGGGUAGCUGGUCUGAGAGGAUGAUCAGCCACACUGGAACUGAGACACGGUCCAGACUCCUACGGGAGGCAGCAGUGGGGAAUAUUGCGCAAUGGGCGAAAGCCUGACGCAGCCACGCCGCGUGAGCGAUGAAGGCCUGGUCGUAAGACGUCUGUGGGAGGAGACGAAGAAAGACCUGUGAAGAGCAGGCCUUGACGGUAUCUCCUUAGCAAGCACCGGCUAAC
rnacentral:rRNA from 1 species